rnacentral:rRNA from 1 species
AUGAACGCUGGCGGCGUGCCUAAUACAUGCAAGUCGAGCGAACAGACGAGGAGCUUACUCCUCUGACGUUAGUGGCGGACGGGUGAGUAACACGUGGAUAACCUACCUAUAAGACUGGGAUAACUUCGGGAAACCGGAGCUAAUACCGGAUAACAUGUUGAACCGCAUGGUUCAACAGUGAAAGACGGUCUUGCUGUCACUUAUAGAUGGAUCCGCGUCGCAUUAGCUAGUUGGUAAGGUAACGGCUUACCAAGGCAACGAUGCGUAGCCGACCUGAGAGGGUGAUCGGCCACACUGGAACUGAGACACGGUCCAGACUCCUACGGGAGGCAGCAGUAGGGAAUCUUCCGCAAUGGGCGAAAGCCUGACGGAGCAACGCCGCGUGAGUGAAGAAGGUCUUCGGAUCGUAAAACUCUGUUAUUAGGGAAGAACAAAUGUGUAAGUAACUAUGCACGUCUUGACGGUACCUAAUCAGAAAGCCACGGCUAACUACGUG